rnacentral:rRNA from 1 species
GACGAACGCUGGCGGCGUGCUUAACACAUGCAAGUCGAACGGAAAGGCCCUGCUUUUGUGGGGUGCUCGAGUGGCGAACGGGUGAGUAACACGUGAGUAACCUGCCCUUGACUUUGGGAUAACUUCAGGAAACUGGGGCUAAUACCGGAUAGGAGCUCCUGCUGCAUGGUGGGGGUUGGAAAGUUUCGGCGGUUGGGGAUGGACUCGCGGCUUAUCAGCUUGUUGGUGGGGUAGUGGCUUACCAAGGCUUUGACGGGUAGCCGGCCUGAGAGGGUGACCGGCCACAUUGGGACUGAGAUACGGCCCAGACUCCUACGGGAGGCAGCAGUGGGGAAUAUUGCACAAUGGGCGGAAGCCUGAUGCAGCAACGCCGCGUGCGGGAUGACGGACUUCGGGUUGUAAACCGCUUUCGCCUGUGACGAAGCGUGAGUGACGGUAAUGGGUAAAGAAGCACCGGAUAACUACGUG